rnacentral:lncRNA from 1 species
UCCUAGUCACUUUAACAUUGGGAGGUGGGUCAUCUAGACCCACUAGACAGUGCUCUGAACCUUUUUUCUUCAAUGAUUUCUGAUCUUCACUGGUGUCCAUGGAUUACAUGAAAUCUUUCCACCUUUAUCCACCUUUGUCAUGGUAGGGAGAACACGUCAUUGUAAGGGUGGGGGUCAUCUAAGAUAGCACAAGUGUUAACUGUCAAUUUGAAUUUAAAUAAAAAAAAAUCUAAUUAAUAACUAUGAGUUAUGUUAUUUUAAAUCACUUAUAUAUUUCAGGUGCAAAUCCAUCUUUCUAUGAGUUUCACUCAUAGCUGACUCUGUAAAUGUUUUACCUUAUAUAAUUUGUUAUAUGAUGUUUUUAUCCUUAUUGAAGAAGACAAAUGCGUACAUUUGUGAAAUGUGAUAUCAUUUACAUUAUUAGUGUGAAGGAAAUUAUAUGGUAGAAGAGAGCAUAUAACAUGAAACAAUUACACUAUGUGUGUUUUUAUGAUUCUCUGCUUCUCAGGCGUUGAAUUUUCAUUCAAAUAAAAUUGCUGAAAGUUUCACACCAAGUUUGACUGUUUUGGGGUUUUCUUUUUCUUGUUUUUCAGGUGUAAAAACCCAUCAGGCGUUUCCUGCCACUGGGCAUCUACAACGCAACCAAUAGAAUCAGACCAACCUGCAGACCAACAGUCAGAAGAUCUGAUAGAAAAGGAGUGUGGGAGCGGAGAGGUCUGGGAGAUCACGACCUUAAUUCUCCCCAAGACAGAGGGUUUAAUUAAGACUGAAGGAUUCCUCACUGACUCCAGACCUCUACAAUAAAACUUUAAUAGGGACAUGGAUUGCACAGGGUUGAACUCUGACCCCCAGAGAAAUGAUCCUAGAUCCUAAUUAUGCAGAGAGGACGGCUGGUGACAGGAGACAGAUGGAACGGCGCGUUCACGUUGAGGCAGAAACGCACAGACGGUGAGGCAAACGAACUGAGUGGAAAGGUUGUUUCAGGCCCUGAGGAGUGACGAGGGAACCACAGGGGCGCUCACACACACGGCUCAGCUUACACAGGAAACUGCUGAGACACACGGGUCAAGUCUGUUUCCAGGUUUAUGGUUCUUGCAGACAUACCGCAGAAGGCUCACACAAAAGCCGCAUACGUGCA